rnacentral:lncRNA from 1 species
GACGGAGUCUCGCUCUGUCGCCCAGACUGGAGUGCAGUGGCGCAAUCUCGGCUCACUGCAAGCUCUGUCUUCCGGGUUCAUGCCAUUCUCCUGCCUCAGCCUCCUGAGUAGCUGGGACUACAGGCGCCCGCCAUUACGCCCGGCUAAUUUUAUUUUAUUUUAUUUUUAGUAGAGACAGGGUUUCACUGUGUUAGCCAGGAUGGUCUGUGUCUCCUGACCUCGUGAUCCACCCGCCUCGGCCUCCCAAAGUGCUGGGAUUACAAAAUGCGUGAGCCACCACGCCCGGCUGAUGGUUUUAUUAAUAUAAGGGACUUUAACCCUUUGCUCAGGACUUCUACUUGCUGCUGCCAUGUGAAGAAGGACAUAUUUGCUUCCCCUUUCACCAUGAUUAAAAGCAAUUUUGUUAAUCACUUUAGCACCAAUUCUUGCAUCCCUGGCAAUACUCAGAACUGCUUCCAUCCAAGUCUUUGAUGUGGGAAAGAAACACACACACACUCUUUCGCAUGUAAUCUGAAAACAAUUCACCUCUUGCCAAUGAAUGCACAGCACUCCACUUUAAUAGAGAGCAAGUUCUGUGGAGGUUUCUAAUCCUUUCUGCCAAAGAAGAGAAGAGAGAGAAUCACUCAGCUUCUAUUGCAGAUGUGAAGUUUAGCAUUUCUUUGCUCACUCUUUUACUGGGAAACUCUUCUAGCGGAAAGCCUGUCAUCUGUUGUGAAGGAGAGCUGGUGUUGACUUGAAGCAACAGAGUUGGUGGUCCAGUGGCCAUUGUCCUGUGUUAGGAGCAGGUGGUCUCGCUAAGCUCCAUGUGUUUGGAAAUUUCUCUGACCAGUGCUUGUUCUGCUAAAGGAAGAAGAGCUCAAGCUGCACUCCUUGUUUCCAGGAUCCCAUCCAGAAUACAUUACCUUUAGUCAUCAUGUCUCCUGUGGCUCUUCUUGGCUGUGACAGUUUCUCAGCUUUCCCAGUUUUAAUGAACUUGCCAUUUUCAUCAGAUUGUACCAAGACCUACUAUCAAUAUGACUUAUGACUAGUGGUGCUGACCUUGAUCACCUGGCUGAGGUAGUUCUUGUCAGGCUUCUCCACUGUCGAGUUGCUCUCCCCAUCCCCCUUUUCCAUAUUGUACUCUUUGAAAGAAAGUCACUAUAUGCAGCCCUUCCUUAAAAAUAUUAAAAUGAACUAGCUUAAUUAAGUUCUUUCUUACA